CCGAUCGUGGGGGAUAACGAAGCGAAAGCUUUGCUAAUACCGCAUACGAUCUACGGAUGAAAGCAGGGGACCGCAAGGCCUUGCGCGGACGGAGCGGCCGAUGGCAGAUUAGGUAGUUGGUGGGAUAAAAGCUUACCAAGCCGACGAUCUGUAGCUGGUCUGAGAGGACGACCAGCCACACUGGGACUGAGACACGGCCCAGACUCCUACGGGAGGCAGCAG
rnacentral:rRNA from 1 species